rnacentral:rRNA from 1 species
GACGAACGCUGGCGGCGUGCUUAACACAUGCAAGUCGAACGGAAAGGCCCUGCUUUUGUGGGGUGCUCGAGUGGCGAACGGGUGAGUAACACGUGAGUAACCUGCCCUUGACUUUGGGAUAACUUCAGGAAACUGGGGCUAAUACCGGAUAGGAGCUCCUGCUGCAUGGUGGGGGUUGGAAAGUUUCGGCGGUUGGGGAUGGACUCGCGGCUUAUCAGCUUGUUGGUGGGGUAGUGGCUUACCAAGGCUUUGACGGGUAGCCGGCCUGAGAGGGUGACCGGCCACAUUGGGACGGAGAUACGGCCCAGACUCCUACGGGAGGCAGCAGUGGGGAAUAUUGCACAAUGGGCGGAAGCCUGAUGCAGCAACGCCGCGUGCGGGAUGACGGCCUUCGGGUUGUAAACCGCUUUCGCCUGUGACGAAGCGUGAGUGACGGUAAUGGGUAAAGAAGCACCGGCGAACUACGU